rnacentral:rRNA from 1 species
UACAGAGGGGGCAAGCGUUGUUCGGAAUUACUGGGCGUAAAGGGCGCGUAGGCGGCCUGCUAAGUCGAACGUGAAAUCCCCGGGCUCAACCCGGGAACUGCGUCCGAUACUGGUUGGCUCGAAUCCGGGAGAGGGAUGCGGAAUUCCAGGUGUAGCGGUGAAAUGCGUAGAUAUCUGGAGGAACACCGGUGGCGAAGGCGGCAUCCUGGACCGGCAUUGACGCUGAGGCGCUAAAGCCAGGGGAGCAAACGGG